rfam:Salmo salar isolate Sally breed double haploid chromosome ssa23, whole genome shotgun sequence.
AUCCCUGUGGCUCAGUUGGUAGAGCAUGGUGUUUGCAAUGCCAGCAUGGUGUGUGCAACGCCAGGGUUGUGGGUUCGAUUCCCACGGGGGGCC